CUGCCAAGUGUCUCCGUUGGCCUGAAGAUGACGAAGGAGGGAUUUUGUUGUGUAGAAAGCUCUAAAUCUUCCCAGGAGCCCAUGAACCGCUUGUGCCUCAGAGAUACAACCUAACCAGCUACCCAGUUCUUUGUGCCAUGAAACUCCUUCAGAAUGUCUGGUUUAUUGUACUGAGAGUGACUAUUGCAUCUAAAUCACUUCUCCAAAGUUACCAGGAGAGGACUCUAAGGUCACACCAGCCCCAGAUGGUCUUGACAAAUGUGAACAGCAUGAAAAGCAGGAAAUGCAGGAAAACAAGACAGAGGAAAUGGUAGAUCCAUUUGUAUCUUUUAAGGAGACAUGGUGAAAAAAAUCCAUGAUAAGCUGUAAACCUGAAGACGAAUCAUGAAAAAACAAUUGCCAUGAAACUGUAGUAAAUUCCCAGGUGUGUGGGGAAGAGAGACUCCAUGUUUUAGAAGAUGAGUUACACUCAAGUCCCAAGAAGGAAGAUCUGAGUGGUAGAUGUUUUUUCCAUUUUUAUAUUACUAAUGAUGAAACUAAGGCUCAGAGAAGUAAAGGAGCUUGCCUAAGAUGCUCUGAAAAUAUGUGGGAGAAACCACCAAACCAUUAUUAUAAUAAAUGAUCAUAAAUGAUAGAAUAAAGAAAAACCCAUAAAAGAGGAAAAUGAACCCCAGGACACUGUGAAAGGCCUGGCAAAUGCAACCUACAAUCCAUUUUGUGAUAUUGAUGAACUAUAACAUUGAUUUACCCUGUUUUUGUCACCAAAGGAAGCCACUGAGCCAUGGUUAUGAGAUUUCUUCUUGGACAUUUGAAAGAGAUUUUCCAAAUUCUUAUUUUUCAGAAGUUGAUGAAUUUCAGCCCUAGGCAGGAUUUUUAUAAAACAAAUUUAAGGGAGAAUAUAUUUUAGAUAAUUUAUUUUUGCUGCGAUUUAUCACCUGUUGGUUGAAGAUUGGUGUUUUAGGUGAUGCUGUUGUAAGUAGUACUGCAAACACUUUCUGCUUUUAAGUGUGUACAGCUCUCAGAAUCUGAAUUACAUGGUAUAGUGCUUUUGUAAAGUGUCUGUUUUCAAUGGUAUAAAGGACUUUUAAAGUUUAUUUUGAUAUUUUAAAUCAUCAAUCACCUGUACAUAGAAUUUGUUGUUUUUCACCUUUUCUACGUUGUUACAAAUGUAUCCCAGUCACUAGGCCAUAGUUGUCUAGGUUUUCACAAAGGUGUUUCUUUUCUCCAUGUCUUUUCCAAAAGACUUUCCAAGCUCUAGGAUUCAAGGCAGACCUCUCAUACCUCUUACAUCUUACUUAAAUCUGAUUUGGGCUUCAGGGAAAACACUGAAGACACAACCAGUACCUGAAACUUUUUUAGUCUUAGUGUUUUGAUUUAUCCUUGGUCACUUCCCCUAGCCUAUGAAAGGAAUUUCUGAUUGAGUUCUGCAUCUCUGAUUUUUAAAAUUUUGAUCAUAAUUCAUGUUUCCUGAGAAAGCAUUUUUAUAUUUUAGGAGUAUAAACCCAAGAAUUCACAAUGGUAUUUUUUCUUAUAGGAAUGCAUGAGAUGAUUUGCCUUUCUAAAAGUAAAUGUAAAACCUAUAAACUAUGUGAUUAUACUUUCCCAAGUUUCUAGGAAUCAACCCAAGUGCAAUUAUUAUAAACAUGUAAGAAAUCAUGUCUACCAUUGAAAAUACAAAAUUUAAAAAUAUAUAUUUGUUCAUAACAGAACCUAUAAUCAGCAAUUUCUUUGUUUUCCUUGUCUUACUGUUCCUUCUUAUAAUUGUUGACAGACACGCAUUGUAAAAAGAAUGAAAGUUCAGUAUUUGUGGGAAAGAAUUUCAGAGUUAUUUCUAGUAAUUCCCUUGCUCCCUUAAUGAGCCCGUAUGAGAUUUUUUUUAAUGUGUAGAAGACUUUAUUUUGUUAACACUUGCUCUAAUCCAGCUUCAUAAAGUGGAAGUUUUCUCUCUCCACUGUGCUAUGGGAAAUCUGAGAAUUCAGGCCCUAUCCAUUGCUGUUGGUCCAUCCCCCUGAAAAUGAUCUUCAGCUUUUGGUCUGCUAGAGAAAAAUAAUGAUUUUUAUGGCUCCAAAGUGUCUUUUUAAAAUAGAGAUUUUUUUGAUAUCUUUCAACUCACCUUUUAUGUUUUCUGAUAAUAAUAAAAUAAUCCUGUGAGUAAAUGCCCUUUUAUACAGAUGUGUGACAAGUAGUUGAAUAGACAAAACUUCUAGUUGAAUAAAUAAUUUUGUACUUUUUUAAAAUUAAGAAUUACUUUUUUUUUUUUGAGACAGAGUCUGGCUCUGUGCCCAGGCUGGAGUGCAAUGGUGCUAUCUUGGCUCACUGCAACCUUGACUUCCCAGGUUCAAGCGAUUCUCCUGCCUCAGCCUCCCGAAGAGCUGGGACUACAGGCGUGUGCCACCAUGCCCAGCUAAUUUUUUUUUUUUUUUUUGUAUUUUUAGUAGAGACAGGGUUUCACCAUUUUGGCUAGGAUGGUUUCUAUCUCUUGACCUUAUGAUCCACCUGCCUCAGCCUCCCAAAGUGUGUUACAGGCGUGAGCCACUGCGCCUGGCCCAAGAAUUACUUUUUAAAUGAAAAUCCACAGAUUCUUGUUUUAUAUUUUUGGAUUUUCAGAUCUUGAUAUCUUUUCAAGAAAGGCAUAGUCUUGAUAAAUAAUAUUCAAAAAUAUAUUAACAUAAAUACUAUGUAUGUUCCUGUAAUUUCAGAGCUUCACUAUGUAUGCCUAUAUAUGUAUAUGUGUAUAUAUGUGUGCCUGUGUGUGCGUGUGUUUCUGGUACAAAUUGAUUUAAUAAACUAUUUG